CAGCCCUCCUGUCCCCAGAGUAACCUCGUGGUGCCCCGCAAGGUGAACUCUGGCUUGUAGGGGAGGCCCUGGGGCCACAGCAGCCUUACUGCCCCUGGACACAUCAGUUCACCCGGCAAGUUCACGGCCGAGGUGGGACUAGAAAUGGGCCCCCUCUUGGCUCUUGAAAAUGGUACUUCUGCCAAAUGUUUCCCAUGCAGGUAGUCUACCCUGGUGCUCACUGAGCACCGAAUACAGAGGUGGGGGCAGGCCUGGGCCCUGCCCUUGUCCAAGGUGUGGACGGAAUGGGAGAGGCCCUUCAGAGUUGGAUACGGGAAAAGAGGCUGGGAGAAGGUUACUUCCAUUGUUCAUGUAAACCAGGUCAAGGUAACCGAUUGUUGCGAGGCUGUUUUAUAUCCGUGUAUUUCAUCAGUCCUCGUGGAUGGACGCUAGGCCUCCUUUGUUCUGAAUGAUAGAGGAACAUGCUGGAAGAGAGAAAGUUCCCUGAAAAGUGGCUAACAUAACUAUACCGAGAUAGCCAUUAAAAUCGACACGGAAUGCCUGAAUAGAUGCUGCACCGUUUCCAGAAAGUUGCCCUUUCUGAUUCUGACGACCAAAGCCUGCCCAUCAAACAGCGGCACCGACAGGGAAAACGCACGGCUGUCUAGAACGAUCGUUGUAGUUUAC
rnacentral:lncRNA from 1 species